AGUCGCCUCCUGGUGGUAGCGUUCAUAUCACUAGGCGAAAUGAAUGGGAUAUAGAUUCACAGACAUUCUUUGAAUACAAUAUAUCUCGGUCCACAUCGAAAGGUUGGUGGAAUUCUUCCAUGACAUAUGCUUUGAAAUAAAUGUAUUGAUUGUGGUGAUCACAGUGUUUUCAGUCACAAUUUUAAGUGUCUCUAUUUUUUGGGAAACAAAAUUGUAACAAAAACUACAAUGAAUGUGUCAUAUAGACGAGGUCACCGUUUUGCACCCAGCUGAUCAGAAUGACGAUUUGCACUGCUUGACUGGCUGAAUAUUUCCGUAAUAUGAAUAAAAUGCACCGUGUGGUGAAAACUAUUAUAGUUCAGCUCAUGUAGAGCAGUGCCUCUUACAUGAAGAGCAAAGAGGUGGCGUCUAACAUGAAGGACAACGAUGGGGUAUUGCCAUUAUUGGCACUUUUGGCCGCGCCGAGCUGGGCUGUGCCGAGCUAAUUUGCAUUUCCAUUACAAGUUGAACAGUGUCAAGUGGCGCCACGCUCAUUGUGGACAAGUUACAAGGGUAGAUGGGUAGAUCUCACUACUGUGGAGUGAGGUGGAGAAAUGGUGAAAGCACCAACCUCGCAAUUGGUCCGUGCAAAGCAUGUGAUGGCUUUGACUGCACUCAGGCCCUCUCAGGCCCUCUCAGCAGCACUCACCAAACACUUCCAACAAGAGGGGAGCAGCUCACUUACCCACGCAGGUGCAGUGCAGCACAAUACAGCUCGUGCACUGUCCAAAACACAUCAAACAGUAAAGAACUUGUUUGAGUCCAACUUUAUCAAAAGUCAAAAGUCAAAGUCAAAAGUAACAUUAAUGUCAAAAACGUCACAACUCAGGAUCUGUUGUCUUAUAUGUUGCCUUUGUCCUACACACAGAGCCUUCAUUCAGUCCACAAAGGGGAAAUGGACUUAUUUACCUCGGACAUCAGUUGGUGAUCCACUGACAGUCUCGUGUCAGACAUGUGUCCAAUCCAUUCCAGAGCAUUAAACCACUACUGAAUAUUGACAGAUUUGUCCCCUUCUGUGUACUGUACCUGGGUACUGCAAUUAGCUGACCUGAGAUGAUCGUGUAUAAAUUCUCCCUUGAAAUAAAUUCUCAUGAACAGUAAUAUUUGGGAUCA
rnacentral:lncRNA from 1 species